UGGGGAAUAUUGCACAAUGGGCGCAAGCCUGAUGCAGCCAUGCCGCGUGUAUGAAGAAGGCCUUCGGGUUGUAAAGUACUUUCAGCGGGGAGGAAGGGAGUAAAGUUAAUACCUUUGCUCAUUGACGUUACCCGCAGAAGAAUCACCGGCUAACUCCGUGCCAGCAGCCGCGGUAAUACGGAGGGUGCAAGCGUUAAUCGGAAUUACUGGGCGUAAAGCGCACGCAGGCGGUUUGUUAAGUCAGAUGUGAAAUCCCCGGGCUCAACCUGGGAACUGCAUCUGAUACUGGCAAGCUUGAGUCUUGUAGAGGGGGGUAGAAUUCCAUGUGUAGCGGUGAAAUGCGUAGAGAUGUGGAGGAAUACCGGUGGCGAAGGCGGCCCCCUGGACAAAGACUGACGCUCAGGUGCGAAAGCGUGGGGAGCAAACAGG
rnacentral:rRNA from 1 species